UCUUAUAACCUUUCGUGGAUUUUGCUGUUUUUCACUACGUUUUGAUUCAUCUACUUCUCAUAGAAUUUGUGAAUUUUGACUGUUAUUGAAAUCUUAAAACUUAUAUCUGUCUGCUUUAUCACCAUCUCUAGGUUGUCAGAGAUAAGAGGACUGGAAAAACCAAGGGCUUUGGAUUUGUUAGCUUUGCCAACCCAUCUGACCUGGCCGGAGCACUAAAGGAAAUGAAUGGUAAGUAUGUGGGCAAUCGGCCAAUCAAACUACGCAAGAGUAACUGGAGGGAGAGGAUAGACUAUGACGCACUAGAAAGACAAAAGAACCACACUCACAAGAAACCAAAGCCUUCGAAGAAGAGCAUAUUGCACAAGUGAGCUAGAGACUCGUGGGCGACGUCGUGAAUAUGGAAAUUGGGGCAGUGAAGCUUAAUGAUGAUAAUUUGAACGAAUGAUAGUAUGCGACGUGCAUUUUUUUUCGUGUGUUAUACGGGGAUUAGUGGAGGAUCCUUUUAAAUACUAAUUAAAUAGGUUCGAUCAAGUAUAUUGAAAUGUGGUUCAGCGUGUUUGGGACAUGGUUCGGUACAACAAAUGCCUAAUACAAGUGGUUAGAUUCUUUA